AUCGCUUCUCGGCCUCGUGGCUAAGAUCAAGUGUAGUAAACACUACUCAUCCUUCCGUCUCUGUGUGAUACAUUCUGGUAUUUUCUAUUCUACUCCACUUUGUUUUUUUAAAAAGUGGUGGUCAUCAACGUUCACUGUUAUGGACUGAACCGUGUCUCUUGAACAUUCA
rfam:Myotis davidii contig47585, whole genome shotgun sequence.